CAGUGGGAAGUAUGGCUAUAAGUUUCUAAGAGUAAUUAACUUUAAAAAGUGGCUUUACUCAUAAUCCAAUAAUCUUCCAUCAAAUCCGGCGGAACACCCAUAUGCUUCCUUCAACAUCUUCUUCUUCUGCUGCUGCUGCUGCUGAUAUGAUCAAAGCAAGGACAUACAAUGUUCUCCUUAACUUCAGAGUCGAGGAUACUCGUAAUGGUUCCGCAAGUCAUCUAUACAAAGAUUUGUGUUGAUGAAAAUCGAAAUUUUUAUAGAUGAUGAGGACCUUCGAAGAGGAGAUGAAAUUUCACGAGGUCAAACUUUAAGGGCGUUUUUGGUACCUUUCUGAUAUUUUUGGGCCUCAGAGACAAAUCCCUGGAGACCAAUUGGUUGGGUGGGAUCACUUGUUUUUGUGAUGACAAUGCUAAAGUUAGCUGGUUUGUGGGAACUCAGGCAUCAAACAAAUGAGGCCUAGUUUAGAUUCUGCCCACUUGUUUGCAAGGGGGAUUGGUCUCAAUGCAUUUGUGGUGAGGUAAAGCUUUGUGGAGUUCAUGUAUCAUUUGCAAAGGACGAGGCAGAGGUACAACCACCUAACAGUUUCAACUAUCAAAGCUGAAUCCUGCUUCAAGCUUAGGUUAUUAUUUCAACCGAAGAGUUUUUAAAUUCUUUUUGGACUUAAUUCGUUGAUUCAAUUUCAUA